UAGGGAAUCUUCGGCAAUGGACGGAAGUCUGACCGAGCAACGCCGCGUGAGUGAAGAAGGUUUUCGGAUCGUAAAGCUCUGUUGUAAGAGAAGAACGAGUGUGAGAGUGGAAAGUUCACACUGUGACGGUAUCUUACCAGAAAGGGACGGCUAACUACGUGCCAGCAGCCGCGGUAAUACGUAGGUCCCGAGCGUUGUCCGGAUUUAUUGGGCGUAAAGCGAGCGCAGGCGGUUAGAUAAGUCUGAAGUUAAAGGCUGUGGCUUAACCAUAGUACGCUUUGGAAACUGUUUAACUUGAGUGCAAGAGGGGAGAGUGGAAUUCCAUGUGUAGCGGUGAAAUGCGUAGAUAUAUGGAGGAACACCGGUGGCGAAAGCGGCUCUCUGGCUUGUAACUGACGCUGAGGCUCGAAAGCGUGGGGAGCAAACAGGAUUAGAUACCCUGGUAGUCCACGCCGUAAACGAUGAGUGCUAGGUGUUAGACUCUUUCCGGGGUUUAGUGCCGUAGCUAACGCAUUAAGCACUCCGCCUGGGGAGUACGACCGCAAGGUUG
rnacentral:rRNA from 1 species